rnacentral:sRNA from 1 species
CCUUGGUUUGGUGCGAUCGCGUGAGACAGCGUCAGGCGCUUGAUUUCCCUGAGUCCCGGUGCCUCAGCUGCCCAGUGCCCACGUUCGUAAGAAGGCAACAAGUUCUUCUCCUCUACAGAAGGAUUUUGCAAACAAUUCGGCAAGUUCCAAAUGAUUCUGAUCGCAAACACCUGAAAGAUUGGGCAAGAGAAGAAUUCAAAAGAAACAAAAGUGCCACCGAAGAGGAUACAAUCCGGAUGAUGAUUACUCAAGGCAAUAUGCAGCUCAAGGAGUUAGAAAAAACACUUGCUUUAGCAAAAUCUUAACUAUAGCAUUAUUCUGAAGGAUUUUCAAAGUCUCCAUGUGUUUUGUUGCAUUUAGGAUUAACAAUGGACAACACAAAGCCCAGUCUUACUAUUUAUAUGUACAGUAUUUGGUGAUAGAGAGCAAAGGAAAAACACAUCAGAACAGUUGCCUUAACACUGAAAAACAUACCCUGCAUUUUGAAAAUGUUUAUGGAUGUCUCAGCAGUUUUUAAAAGAAGAAAAAAACCACUAACAAAUGGCCAGUAGAUGCUGGACACAAUCAUUAGGGAAGUGUAAAUCAAAACUACUAUGAGGUCGGGUGUAGUGGCUCAUGCUUGUAAUCCCAGUACUUUAGGAGGCUGAGGUAGGUGGAUCACUUGAGGUCAGGAGUUCAAGACCAGCCUGGCCAACAUGGUGAAACCUCAUCUCUACUAAAA